CAGUUUAUAUUAAGGAUGUACUUAGGUGAGGUUAGGUGAAAAUUAAUAAAUUAAGAAGUUAAAAUUGAUACUAUAAGCUAGUAGAGCAUCAAUUAAGGAUAAAAAUAAGCUAAAAAUAUUGAUAGGUCAUGGACCUUCUUUUCGAGAUAUUUGAGAUUUAAAAUAUGGCGGGAAAAGGCUGACUCGGACUUUUACCUUAUAUUUGCAUUGGUACUAUUAGUUCUCAAAACAAAAGAAAGAAAACUAAGAAUCUUCUAAAAUUUUGGUAAAUGGCCUUUCAUGAGCUUCUGUGAAAAAAUAAAUGGGUGUUAUGGAGCAAAAUAUUUUACAUUGUAUUGUAUGGAAAAACACCAAGGAGUUCGAACAUUUGACACAAAUUCCA
rnacentral:lncRNA from 1 species